rnacentral:rRNA from 1 species
GAGGCAGCAGGUAGGGAAUCUUCGGCAAUGGACGGAAGUCUGACCGAGCAACGCCGCGUGAGUGAAGAAGGUUUUCGGAUCGUAAAGCUCUGUUGUAAGAGAAGAACGAGUGUGAGAGUGGAAAGUUCACACUGUGACGGUAUCUUACCAGAAAGGGACGGCUAACUACGUGCCAGCAGCCGCGGUAAUACGUAGGUCCCGAGCGUUGUCCGGAUUUAUUGGGCGUAAAGCGAGCGCAGGCGGUUAGAUAAGUCUGAAGUUAAAGGCUGUGGCUUAACCAUAGUACGCUUUGGAAACUGUUUAACUUGAGUGCAAGAGGGGAGAGUGGAAUUCCAUGUGUAGCGGUGAAAUGCGUAGAUAUAUGGAGGAACACCGGUGGCGAAAGCGGCUCUCUGGCUUGUAACUGACGCUGAGGCUCGAAAGCGUGGGGAGCAAACAGGAUUAGAUACCCUGGUAGUCCACGCCGUAAACGAUGAGUGCUAGGUGUUAGACCCUUUCCGGGGUUUAGUGCCGCAGCUAACGCAUUAAGCACUCCGCCUGGGGA